rnacentral:rRNA from 1 species
UACGUAGGGGGCGAGCGUUGUCCGGAUUUACUGGGCGUAAAGCGCGCGCAGGCGGCUUCCCAAGCGCCACGUGAAAGCCCCGGGCUCAACCCGGGAGGGUCGCGGCGAACUGGGAGGCUUGAGGCCGGUAGAGGUGGGUGGAACUCCUGGUGGAGUGGUGAAAUGCGUAGAGAUCAGGAAGAACACCCGUGGCGAAGGCGGCCCACUGGGCCGGUGCUGACGCUGAGGCGCGAAGGCGUGGGGAGCGAACAGG